UACGAAGGGGGCUAGCGUUGUUCGGAUUUACUGGGCGUAAAGCGCACGUAGGCGGAUCGUUAAGUCGGGGGUGAAAUCCUGGAGCUCAACUCCAGAACUGCCUUCGAUACUGGCGAUCUUGAGUCCGGAAGAGGUGAGUGGAACUCCUAGUGUAGAGGUGAAAUUCGUAGAUAUUCGCAAGAACACCAGUGGCGAAGGCGGCUCACUGGCCCGGUACUGACGCUGAGGCACGAAAGCGUGGGGAGCAAACAGG
rnacentral:rRNA from 1 species